UACGCGAUGCCGAAGUCGGGUCGCGCUACUACACAACCUCGCUGAUUUUCAGGAGAUGUAUCAUGACU
rfam:Pseudomonas alkylphenolica strain KL28 chromosome, complete genome.